GAUUGGAUAGUGCGGGACCGUUUGGGGCCGGUCAGGGCUCCAGAGCGGCAGGUCCACAGGUGUCCAGAGGCCCCAGCCAGCCCAGACCACCUAGGCCCCGUUGUUCUCAUUGCGGGAAGUCUCAUCCAGGGGAGUGUUAUCGAGCUACAGGAGCUUGUUUUACGUGCGGCGGUCAGGGCCAUUUUAUGAGAGAUUGUCCGUUGGCCAGCGGUUCCGGUAGUGUGGCUCAGCCGACAGGGUCAGCCGCCGGUUCAUCAUCUGCUCCAUCUGUUGCACGCCCUGCAGGGCGAGGUGUGCCGACAUCGGCGGGACGCGGUCGAGGCCGCGGUGGCGUUGCAGGUUCUAGCGGUCCUUCGAACCGCAUAUAUGCUUUGGCCAGCCGCCAGGAUCAGGAGGCUUCGCCAAACGUCGUCACAGGUACAGACAUUGGUGAUCCCCCAUUGUAGGCUCCACUUUUCUGCUAUCUCGGAGUACUCCUACUUGAUCCGGAGUCCACUUCUGGUAUAGACAUCUGUUGCUGUAUAUAUUUUGUAUAUUUGGCUGUUUGGGUACGGCGGGGCCCUGUCCCGCCAUAUGAUUCUGUCGGUCUGUUAGAGGUCUGUGGACAGGGUUGUGGGUUAUGGUCCUUAGGUAUGGUUAUGUGAACAUGUCGUUGUGCGAUUCUCAUAUACUGAGGCGGCCAGUCCGCAUGUUUUGAUUAGGCGAUUCUAUACGCCGAGGCGGCCAGUCCGCGUUUGAUAUAUGUAUAUAUAUAUUGUCCUGUUAGCCCUGAGUGGCUUUUGUUGGUA